rnacentral:misc_RNA from 1 species
ACAGAACUCAAUCUUGGGGAAAAAUUCCAACCACUAGCAUGUUCCAUCUCCGGAUCAACUGCUCUCAUGCGGAUAUCCUCUUGCAGCUUCAUGAAGUACAUUGAUGACCAGUAAUCUCUUGCUAAGUUCAGUUUCAUCAGCUGCAUCAGUUCACCUAGAGCGUUUUUGAAUAGGUCAGUGUGGGAGAGAUCAUUAGUAUUCAAAAUUUCCUGCCGGAUUCGGU